AGGUAGUAAUAAAAAUAAAACCUCUUUAUAAAGGCGGCAUUAAUUUUAAUUAAAGGAACUUGUUAAUUAAUCGAUAACCCACGUUAUAUUUUACUUAAGUAUACAAUUUAUAUAUCGCCAUCUUAAGAAUUUAUAAAUUUAAAUAUUCACAAUAAUAAUUAAUAAGUUAGGUCAAGGUGUAGUCUUAAUUUAAGUUUAUAUGAGUUACUUUAAAUAAGAUUUAAGGAUAAUUUUUUUAAAAAAUUCUUUUAAAAAGGAUUUAAAAAUAAUUUAUAAAUAACAAUUAUAUAUGAAUUAAAUUAUAAAUGUGU
rnacentral:rRNA from 1 species